UUGAAUGCAGUAACAAAGGUCUUCAGCCUAACAUCAGUUAGCUGUCAAAGCUCUCCCAGGUUUAUAUAAAGUAACAUAUGCUUUCUGCAAUGCAAAACAUAAAAAAGUUAAACUCAAACUGUCUCAUCUUGAAGUCAGGUAGUUCUCUGGAAAUUUGGAUAAUGUCAUAAUGUUCAUCAGGCACAAGUUUGUCCUGGGAUGGCUAAUCUCCAAGAUCCAUGUCCAACAGAGCCUGAGAAGAGGACACAGCAGGGGGCAGCUCUGAGGCGGGGAGAAUGGGAGAGACGGGAGGACUGAGAGGGGAACUGGGAGCUGUCACUGCAAGAAAAGAAAAGACGGCAUGAGUGGGUCUGGAAAAGACAUAGAUGCAUGUUGGCGGCCCCUCCAGUCUCAGCAGCCGAGUCUGUUUCUGCUGGAGCUUCCGCCUGUCAAAAAUGACACGUUUUCCUUGCCAGUGUUGCCAAAUGCUUUCUUAUGAUAACAAUGCUGGGUCUAUGUAAAUAACAUUACAAAUUGUACUUGCUUAUAUGUAAUGUGAUAACUUCUGUGGUGAUUUUCUGCUUCAUAAACAAAACAGAUUAAUUGACAUUGGUAUGGGAAGAGCAUGCCAAUUUCAGAUCUACAAUAAUGUUGCUUUUUAUAUAUUCAUUCUGACCUGUUUUCCAUAAUAACAAGGCAAGUAAAGUAACAAUUUCCACUCUAAAAUCUAUCUUUGUUACUCCAUUAAAGCACAAUAUCCUUUGUUCCAACUUUAAAAGCUUAUUUCCCAUGUCUGACUGAGUGACACAUACAAUAAAAUCCUCCGCUGAGCCUCCUA